GCGCCUCCGGAGAGAUGGUGCGUCCCUGGGGCUGGUAAAAAGGAACCAGAUCAACUUGCAACUGGAUUUGGUCCCCUUCAACCAGCUGCAGCGGCGCAUGUGCCACAGCCCCCGCUGC
rnacentral:pre_miRNA from 10 species